AUACGUAGGGUGCGAGCGUUGCCCGGAAUUACUGGGCGUAAAGAGCUCGUAGGUGGUUUGUCGCGUCGUCUGUGAAAUUCCGGGGCUUAACUCCGGGCGUGCAGGCGAUACGGGCAUAACUUGAGUACUGUAGGGGAGACUGGAAUUCCUGGUGUAGCGGUGAAAUGCGCAGAUAUCAGGAGGAACACCGGUGGCGAAGGCGGGUCUCUGGGCAGUAACUGACGCUGAGGAGCGAAAGCAUGGGUAGCGAACAGGAUUAGAUACCCUGGUAGUCCAUGCCGUAAACGGUGGGCGCUAGGUGUAGGGGUCUUCCACGACUUCUGUGCCGUAGCUAACGCAUUAAGCGCCCCGCCUGGGGAGUACGGCCGCAAGGCUAAAACUCAAAGGAAUUGACGGGG
rnacentral:rRNA from 1 species